rnacentral:pre_miRNA from 1 species
UUUAAGUAUAAUCAUAAGUUUUCGUGUCCAACUUAAUCGUUCGUUUUAUUUCAAUUUUUUUAUAAUUAGUAUUUUUGUUUUUAUGAAAUGAUAAAACAUGAAUAAUACUUUACUCGUGACUUAUAUUUUUAAAUUUUUUUAAAAAAUUUAAAUUCAGAUACGAAAAAUCAUGUCGGCCCUUAAA